AGCAGCCGCGGUAAUUCCAGCUCCAAUAGCGUAUAUUAAAGUUGCUGCAGUUAAAAAGCUCGUAGUUGAAUUUCGGGACCAAUAUGUCGGUCGUGCCUCGGUACGUACUGGCAUCGUUGGUUUCUCCUUUCUGAAGAACCAUGAUGUCAUUUAUUUGGUGUCGUGGGGAAUCAGGACUGUUACUUUGAAAAAAUUAGAGUGUUUAAAGCAGGCUCACGCUUGAAUACAUUAGCAUGGAAUAAUGAAAUAGGACGUUUGAUUCUAUUUUGUUGGUUUCUAGGAUCGACGUAAUGAUUAAUAGGGAUAGUUGGGGGGCAUUAGUAUUCAAUUGUCAGAGGUGAAAUUCUUGGAUUUAUUGAAGACUAACUACUGCGAAAGCAUUUGCCAAGGACGUUUUCAUUAAUCAAGAACGAAAGUUAGGGGAUCGAAGACGAUCAGAUACCGUCGUAGUCUUAACCAUAAACUAUGCCGACUAGGGAUCGGAUGAUGUUAAUUUUUUUAAUGACUCAUUCGGCGCCUU
rnacentral:misc_RNA from 1 species